rnacentral:lncRNA from 1 species
CAUUUAUAACUGUCUCUUUUCUGAUUAUUGCAACCAUACAGUACCAUUUAAUGCCGCUUUAAUCUACAGGUCUGAUGUACCAGAGGAUGGUCAUAGCUGAGCAGAGAUUAAAAACCGUGCACUAUCCCUUCCAAGAGAGGGUUUUUGUUUUAGCUGAACCAGAGGUCUUCUCUGAGUCCUUGGUGACAGCUGUGUCAGGGGAUUUUGAGGUAUCGGCUACAUCUUCAGGUCAAUUUCUAAAUCCUCUAGAUCACAUGCGCAGUGUGGUACAACACUCCAUACAGGCUGCUUUAGGAGAAGAGCAGUGCCAUGGGCCAAAACUCGCUCAAGCCCUCAAGGACAUGGGGCAAGAAAUUGAGCCAUAUUUUCAGGAAGUGUUGGCGUCGCUAGAGCAGAGC